rnacentral:tRNA from 1 species
ACUGGGUUGGCCGAGUGGUUAAGGCGUUGGACUUAAGUUCCAAUGGACAAAGUGUCCGCGUGGGUUCGAACCCCACACCCAGUA